UCUCUCUCUCUCAUCGCACACACACGCGACGUGCUACGCCGCCGCCGCCACCCACGGCUCUGGCCGUCGCCAACCGCCUCCACCACUGCGGAUCGCCGAUCCAGCUCCACGCGGGUCUUCUCCCUAGAUUCCCCGUCGCCGUGACGCUUCUAUCCUCCCGUGCGCGCCCCCACUGCAAACUCUAGUUGUGCGGCUCGGGGUUCGCCGGCGCGUCCGCCUCCCCUUUCCCGCCGCCGUGACACUUCUCUCCUCCCGUGCGCGCCCCCACAGAAAACCCUAGCAGUGCGGCUCGGGGUUCGCCGGCGUGGCCGCGUCCCCUUCCCCGCAUCUUCGGCUGCUCCCCUCUGACAACUUCGACUUCUAAUGUCAUCCACGACCCCGCUCCGUCCUCCGAUUCUAUGGUUGCUCCAACCCGACGCAUACGACCACGUCCAGGUUCUCCGCAUCGACCAAACUUGAUGCGGAUUCUUGGCCAAACUUGAUGCGCUGUGUAACUAUGUUCCUGUUUUUUCACCUAUCCUUGUGUCUUGCAGUAUGCAUAUAUUACAGGAUUUUUUUAUUAUUGAGCAUUUUCUUUUCAGCCUGAUGUAUUUUUCUUGCAAUUAAAUGUACCACUAUUUUUUUCAAAUAGUGAUCUAGCGUAGAAUCCGCUUACAUGCAACAUCUCAUGGCGCUGGCAGUUUGCAAUUAAAUGUACCUAUAAUAAGUUACCUUACAUUAUGCCAAGUUUGCCUAGCAAUUCACUAAGUAGUAAUAACUUUGCCGUCUUGAUAUUUUAAGGCUUGAGGGGUACUUCACUGUGUGGAACCUUGUCUCCUGACAUGUGCCAGCUGACUUGUUAUUUUUAAGAUUAUUCUUGUGAACAUCUAAACCUGUUUUUCACCUAUCCUUGUGUCUUGCAGUAUGCAUAUAUUACAGGAUUUUUUUUUUUAUUAUUGAGCAUUUUCUUCUUCUCGGGUUCUCUUGAACAUUUCAGUUGGUGAAAUAAAACUAAGCAUCCGCAGGUCACUAGUCAAACUAAGUUUCGGUGUCCUCUCCAAGGACCCAAAGGUCAUGGUCUUCUUAUCAAUAUAAGGAGUGUUAUAAAGAAUGUAUUGGGCGGGUUGGCUUUGAAUUUGUCUGUAUUGGGCGAUGAGGGUGCCAUAGACUGACAACGAAUCGUACGGAGGUAUCCAAUCCAAUCGCCUCAGCCCCAUCUCUCUCCUACUACAUACGCAUCUGACGAGUGUUGCCGUUUGUAUGUAUGUUCCCAGGAGAAAGAGACCUCGUUCGCAGGAGCAUACAUAGCUUUUUGGCCAAAUCAAUAGUUACAUAUUGUUAGUAUUCUAAAUGUAAAAUUAAUUUCUUUAGAUGUUCGAUAUACAGUUUACUGAAGAAUUUUCUGAUGCUUUUAUAUGAUAGGUUACAUAUUCAUUGCAAGUUUAUUAAUUUGCAAUUGUCAUAUGCACCUGCCGUCUGUGCAUGUGCCAAUAUAAAAAUAUUCACUUGAAUUCAUAUAGUCGGGAGAAAAAAGCAGCAUGAUAUACAGUCUACAAACAACCUGAGAGCAAGCUAGGAAGACAGUAGACAAAUAAAGAGCUGAGGCAUUUGCCAACAACCUUAUUCUCGGUUUCUUUUUCAAAGAGGCUAGAGCAAUUUGUGUAUAGGUUAUUCACUUGAAUUCGAAUAUCGCAUCUUGAAUUAUAUGGCAGUCAUAUAUCUUGGGUACAAAGGGUACUUGUGUAUUUUUAUUAGCUCAGUGAUUUAAGUUUCACGUACGGUGCAGAGGGACAUAAGAGAGCAGUGACAUAGAUUUGUGGAGUCCAGUCCACUAAAUUCUUACGCUUCGAAGGAGGUAUAUGGCUUUAAAAACACCCUGCUUUUAAAUUAUAGUUAGUGUUCAUAUCUUUUUUUGUCACAAAUUGCAAACUCUGUAAUGUUUUUCCCUAAGUUGUGGCCCAUAAACAAAUGAAGCAAAUUGUAGGUUUCAAAUCUUAGGUUCCAGUCUAUGGUUUUAAGUUGAGAUUGUGUGUGAUACCAAACUGAAACAAUUAUAACACCUAUCCAUGAAGGAUAUGUUAGGCUUUAUUUACAGUUGAGGUGAAUGGAUGUUAAGCCUGCUUAAUCUUAAACAUAUAUUAUCUUGUAACCAAAAUUAAAUAGCAACGUAUAUGUUUAAUCUUUUCUGGUGGUAUUUACUGGUUAUGCUUUGUUCAUGUAGAGCAACAAAUCUCUGAAUAUUGUUUGCCUAUGUGUCCAUAAUUGGUGUAUGCAUACUUGCAUUAUUGGAAGCUUUACUCUGUUUUUUGUCAAGAUAAAUUACUGGAAGUGCUGGGACUGGAAGUAUACCUGUAUCUUAUUUGUGAGGAGCAUUAUCUUUUUGGUGAGGAUCAUUGUAUUUUUCCGGAGCAGUACAAUUCAGGUCCUGUAAGUUAGAUGCUUCGACUCCAUGCACGGGGUUAAAGAUCCUAUAAUUUAGAUGCUACAUGCAAAUGUUCGUUCUAGACCAUGUUGACACCAUGUUGCUUGCAAAUGUUGGUUUCAGACCAUGUUGACACAAUGUUGCUUGCAAA